AUUGAACGCUGGCGGGAGGCUUUACACAUGCAAGUCGAACGAGUGGCGGACGGGUGAGUAAUGUCUCGGAACCUGCCCGAUGGCGGGGGAUAACUACUCGAAACGGUAGCUAAUACCGCAUACCAUCGGAUGUGCCCAUAUGGGAUUAGCUAGUUGGUGGGGUAAAGGCUCACCAAGGCGACGAUCCGUAGCUGGUCUGAGAGGAGGACCAGCCACACUGGGACUGAGACACGGUCCAGACUCCUACGGGAGGCAGCAGUGGGGAAUAUUGCACAAUGGGCGCAAGCCUGAUGCAGCCAUGCCGCGUGUAUGAAGAAGGCCUUCGGGUUGUAAAGUACUUUCGGCAGAGAGGCGUUAUCCGCAGAAUAAGCACCGGCUAACUCCGUGCCAGCAGCCGCGGUAAUUC
rnacentral:rRNA from 1 species